UUCCGGUUGAUCCUGCCGGAGAUCACUGCUAUUGGAAUUCGGCUAAAGCAUGCGAGUCGAGAGGGUUCGGCCCUCGGCUGACGGCUCAGUAACACGUGGAUAAUCUGCCCUUAGGUGGAGGAUAAUCUCGAGAAAUUGAGCAUAAUACUCCAUAACUCUAGGUUGCUGGAAUGCUUCUAGAGUAAAAGCUCCGGCGCCUAAGGAUGAGUCUGCGGCCUAUCAGGUUGUAGUGAGUGUAACGGACUCACUAGCCGACGACGGUUACGGGUCCUGGAAGGGAGUGCCCGGAGAUGGACUCUGAGACACGAGUCCAGGCCCUACGGGGCGCAGCAGCUACGAAAACUUCACAAUGCGGGAAACCGCGAUGAGGGAAUUCCAAGUGCUUAUACUUUGUAUAAGCUGUUUACUUACCUAAAAAGCAAGUAGAGUAAGGGCUGGGUAAGACUGGUGCCAGCCGCCGCGGUAAUACCAGCAGCCCAAGUGGUAGCCGCUUUUAUUGGGCCUAAAGCGUCCGUAGCCGGUCUGGUAAACCCUUGGGUAAAUCGUAUAGCUUAACUAUACGAAUUCCGAGGAGACUGCCAGACUUGAGACCGGAGAAGGUCGGAGGUACUCCUGGGGUAGGGGUGAAAUCUUAUAAUCCUAGGGGGACCACCAGUGGCGAAGGCGUCCGACUGGAACGGCUCUGACGGUAAGGGACGAAACCCUGGGGCACAAACCGGAUUAGAUACCCGGGUAGUCCAGGGCGUAAACGCUGCAGGCUUGGUGUUGGGGGUCCCGCGAGGGCGUCCAGUGCCGGAGAGAAGUUGUUAAGCCUGCCGCCUGGGGGAGUACGAUCGCAAGGUUGAAACUUAAAGGAAUUGGCGGGGGGAGCACAGCAACGGGGUGGAGCGUGCGUUUAAUUGGACUCAACGCGG
rnacentral:rRNA from 1 species